CUUGUUAUUUGUCCUGUCCUGUUUUGUUUUGUUAUCAUUGUUCCCCCCGCGUGCGUGCGAGACAGAGAAAUGUUUGCAGAACUGCUGUGCGGCGCCGUGGCUCUGGUCCUGUAUGUCAACACUCUGGGCGCCGAUUUCUGCUACGAUGACAGCCGUGCAAUCAAGACCAAUCAGGACCUGCUUCCAGAGACCCCCUGGACAAAUAUCUUCUAUGAUGACUUCUGGGGCACCUUACUCACGCACAGUGGCAGUCAUAAGUCUUACCGGCCCCUCUGCACCCUCUCCUUCCGCCUCAACCACGCUGUAGGUGGGCUGCAGCCCUGGGGUUAUCACCUGGUUAAUGUGGCCUUCCAUGGGGCUGUGACAGGCCUGUUUACCUCACUGGCUCGCCUGCUGCUCGGAGGAGGGCUGUGGAGCGUGCUGGCCGGCCUCCUCUUUGCUGCUCACCCCAUCCACACUGAAGCGGUGGCUGGCGUCGUGGGUCGGGCUGAUGAAGGUGCCGCUCUGUUCUUCUUGCUGUCCCUGCUGUGUUACAUACGUCACUGUACACUGCGGGGCCACGCUGGGCCCUGGCGGCUUGUGGCCUGGUUCCUGGGCAGCCUUGGCUGCGCUGCCUGCAGCAUGCUGUGGAAGGAGCUUGGAGUGACUGUCCUGGCUAUAUCUGCGCUGUAUGACGUCUGCGUUUUCCACAGGCUCAAAUUGCGACAGGUCAUCAUGCUCCUCUACAAGAGAAAGAACAUCCACCUGCUGCUGAAUGUGUUUUUGCUGGCAAUCUGGGGAGCCGUCCUGUUAGCCUGCCGCUUCUACUGGAUGGGCAACAAACCGCCAAACUUCUCAAACUCCGACAACCCGGCUGCCGACUCCCCCUCGCUCCUCACCAGGACGCUAACCUUUUUCUACCUGCCUGCCAUUAACUUUUGGCUGCUCCUCUGCCCGGACACACUUAGCUUUGAUUGGUCAAUGGACGCCCUACCUUUGAUCAGGAGCCUGGCUGAUUGGAGGAACUUUCAUACAGUAGUCUUCUACCUUGGACUGCUAUUGCUGGCUUGGUUUGGCCUGUGGAUGCACCACACAGCUAAGGGCAAGGACACGAAUGGCAAAGCGCAUCAUUACACCAAUGGCAGAAAUGGAAACAGUAAUGGACACAGUUACCAAUAUAACAAUCAUGAACAUACGCACAAUUCCCACACAGGCACUCACAUUAAUAGUGCCCAAAAUGGUACCAAAAAACACUAUGAGAACAGGACUCCACUGCCCACCACUGAAAAUGUUGUGGUGUUCUCUUUAGGCCUGUUGGCUAUCCCUUUCCUCCCUGCCACAAACCUGUUUUUCUAUGUAGGCUUUGUGAUAGCAGAGAGAGUACUGUACAUCCCCAGCAUGGGCUUUUGCCUGCUGGUAGCAGUGGGGAUGAGGUCCCUGUACAUCCGACUGCGACGCAGGUCCUUCAGGACGAUGUUGGUGUACUGCAGCGCUACUCUGGUUCUUCUUUUUGGUGUCAAAACUGUUCUGAGGAACCGGGACUGGCAGAAUGAGGAGAUGCUCUACAAGUCAGGGAUUUAUGUCAAUCCCGCUAAGGCAUGGGGAAACCUCGGAAAUGUCCUGAAGAGCCAGGGCAAGAUGGAGGAGGCUGAACAGGCGUAUAGAAAUGCCCUCUAUUACCGCAGCAACAUGGCUGACAUGCUGUAUAACCUCGGUUUGCUGCUACAGGAGAGCAACAAAUUCUCAGAGGCACUUCACUACUAUAAGCUGGCCAUUGGGAGCCGGCCAACUCUGGCUUCGGCCUACUUGAACACAGGCAUCAUCCUGAUGAAUCAGGGUCGUCUAGAUGAAGCCAAGCGCACCUUCCUAACCUGCGCUGAUAUCCCAGAUGAAAACCUGAAGGACCCCCACGCCCACAAGAGCUCAGUCACCAGCUGCUUGUACAACCUGGGCAAGCUGCUCCAUGAGCAGGGACAUCAGGAGGAGGCCCUCUCUGUGUUUAAAGAAGCAAUACAGAAAAUGCCAAGACAAUUUGCACCACAGAGCCUCUACAACAUGAUGGGAGAGGCCUACAUGAGACUGAACAAGCUGACUGAAGCUGACCACUGGUACCGAGAGUCCCUUCGAGCCAAGCCCGACCACAUCCCUGCACACCUCACCUAUGGCAAACUCCUGGCUAUGAAGGGGCAGAAAGCAGAAGCAGAGAGGUACUUCCUGAAGGCCAUCCGACUUGAUCCCACGAAAGGCAACUGUUACAUGCAUUAUGGUCAGUUUUUGUUGGAAGAGUCGCGGCUGCUUGAGGCGGCGGAGAUGGCAGAGAAAGCCGCACGCCUCGACAGCGGGGAGUUUGAUGUGGUCUUCAGCGCAGCCCAUAUGCUCAGACAAGCCAGCCUAAAUGAGGCAGCCGAGAAGUACUACGGACAAGCAGCAGGCCUGAGACCCAAUUAUCCUGCAGCUUUGAUGAACCUGGGAGCGAUCCUCCACUUAAAUGGGAAGCUUCAAGAAGCUGAAGCCAAUUACCUUCGAGCACUUCAACUGAAACCGGAUGACACCAUCACCCAGUCCAACUUGCGUAAGUUGUGGAACAUCAUGGAGAAACAGGGCCUCAGGACCACAAGCCCCUGACCUCACCCUGCCCGCCUACAGUACCUGCCAUCUGUACGCCAGACCUGGAGGAAAGGAUGGCCCAUGCGCUCCUCAUUCGCUCUUUUCAUGCAGGAGAGAUGGAGGAGACUCAGGGAGGAUGUUUGCUCAGAGAGGCCAUGACUGUGCCGCACAGCCCUCCUAAUGACUCCUGAGCUCUGCAUACCACUCAGGCCAGCAGCUUUCCUCAGAAGCAUUGCUCACAGUUUGGCUGGCGCUAAACAGUAUUUGGACUUUUUAGACAUUUGUUAAAAAUAAGUGCUCUCACAGGAACCAUGAUUAUUUUUCUUUUCAGUUAUUUUAUUUUAUAACUAGAGCACUUAAACUUGAAGUGACACCAUAGAUACAUCGUUCAACAUUUGUGAUGAAUUAAGUUUCUUAAAUGACUAAUUGUAGGUCAGAAGGGUGAAAUUUGUCCCCGAGCAGUGAGAGAUAAAAUACAAAAGAGAGAAAGAUCUCAGAGCACUGCACUGAGGGCAUUUUCCAUCAUCAUUUAGUAAACUUCUUGGUUUGAUCAGAUGUUCCACCUUGAUAAUGAAGAAAAUAAGAUUAUAUGAACACACCCAAAAUCAGUAAAAUCUCCAGUCUGUGUAUUUUUUUCACAUCCUCAGUGGGUUUGUUUUGCUCAUGAUAUAACACAUUCUUCAUAAUGAAUGUAAAAUUAGCACCAUUAUUGUAAACCAUUUGUAGCAGAUGCCCUGAGAUUUGGUGUGAACUUGAAAAAGGGAAUUUAAUUUGUUAGCCAUUACAGCACAACAAUAGCCUCAGAAAAGCUCCGCACAGGCUGGAUUUUUGGCAAGAAAAUGCAACAAGCGAAGGAAGUGGGCCUACUUUCACAUUGUAAUGCCUUAUAAUAAAAGGUGUCAGUCUUCUUUAGCAGUGUACAAUAGCAUGCAGGUGGCAUUUUUUACAACUACUGCUUGUGAAACUACUGUUUCACUCUUAAAGAGGCCAAAUCACCAUGGUAACUUGUUUGACAACGACAUUGGGAAGCUAUAAAUCAAAUUAUUAAGCCACCUUCCCAUGGAAGUCACAGACAACAAAGUGGCAGGUACAGUAGUUUUGGGGACACCGUCUUCCUGCCUGCCGCUUUUACAAAGGAGAGUGUGUGGAGCUGAAACAGAUGGAGGAGUUCUUCUAACCAAAUACAGAAGCAAUGCCGAUGCACACCUUUUCGUCAUAAUGCAGAGACAUAGGACAUCUGGGGGAAAUGUUCUAAUUCCUCUGUUUGUGCUGGAAUAAAACUAAUUUCAUUGUGUUUGUAUAAAUGAAUCCUAAUAUAUACCCAUAUUGUGUCUAUUAUUCAGAAAAUCGUGCAGCAAAAAAUAGCCAGACUUCAAGUGGAAGUUUGGUUCGUUACAUGAAGUAUUUUCCCAUGUUGUCAAACCUCUGUUCUCAGUCUUGAGGUCUCAUUUUGUAUAUAUUCUGUGUAAUUAACAUCUGUUUGUUUGUUGUUGACAGAAUACAGUAAAUGAUAUGGCACCUUCCCAGAAGUAAGAAUAUGUGCAGUAUUUGUGAUCAUUUGCUUUUUACCGGCCACAAACCUCCUGAAAUAUCUGUGUCCUUAGUUUAUUACAUUGUAAGUUAUUGCUUUGUGUUACCUUAGCAACAGAACCAGCUGGCACUGUGUUUUUACAAGUAAAAUGAAGGAAGUUAGCAGAUAUGGUGUAUACAUUUGUGGUCAUUACUGAGAAAAAUCUCCAAAUACAGUUUAGUGGCCCAUUUAUCGGUACAUACAGUAACACCUGCAAUGGUGGAUAAAAGAUUGAAUAUAUAUGUCCCUUGUUGCAGCCAUGAUAGUGUCAGCAUUGUUCUGUUUUUGACUGUGAUGUUCACUAUUGAUACGCUGAGUAAAAUAGUCACAUCUCACAAAGCCCAUGUACUAAUUUCUCCUGUGUAUAUAAAGUGUUUAUGAAUAAACACUGAUAAUUGUUAUUGCUUGAGUGAAGAUGUACAAAAAAAAAAGCGAUUCACUCUGUGUCUCUGCUCAGGGAUCUCAAGCAGUGGGUUAUUGCAGAAACUUGUUCACAGAGCGUUUACUAAAUUAAAGAUUUAUUUUUGAAAAUUGUUGUAUUUGUAUAAAUUAUCGAGAUUUGUAGCCUUUUUCUCCUUUUUGUAAUAUAAAAAUGAACAAUGUGCCAGAAUAG